rnacentral:rRNA from 1 species
GACGAACGCUGGCGGCGUGCCUAAUACAUGCAAGUCGAGCGCAGGAAACUGACGGAACUCUUCGGAGGGAAGGCAGUGGAAUGAGCGGCGGACGGGUGAGUAACACGUAAGGAACCUGCCUCAAGGAUUGGGAUAACUCCGAGAAAUCGGAGCUAAUACCGGAUAGUUCAUCGGACCGCAUGGUCCGCUGAUGAAAGGCGCUUCGGCGUCACCUUGAGAUGGCCUUGCGGUGCAUUAGCUAGUUGGUGGGGUAACGGCCCACCAAGGCGACGAUGCAUAGCCGACCUGAGAGGGUGAUCGGCCACACUGGGACUGAGACACGGCCCAGACUCCUACGGGAGGCAGCAGUAGGGAAUCUUCCACAAUGGACGAAAGUCUGAUGGAGCAACGCCGCGUGAGUGAUGAAGGUUUUCGGAUCGUAAAACUCUGUUGUAAGGGAAGAACACGUACGAGAGGGAAUGCUCGUACCUUGACGGUACCUUACGAGAAAGCCACGGCUAACUACGUGCCAGCAGCCGCAGUAACAC